rnacentral:ncRNA from 2 species
AUUCGUAAGUACUUCUGGCGCUCAGAUGGAAUGAACCAUCGUGAAGUUUCUGAUAAAAAGCCGCACGCCUGGGCUUAAAAG